AUUAUUGACUAUUUUACUGUUUAAAGUGGUGUAUAAAGUAUUUGAUAUUUCAGGAUUCCAAUAUUUGGGAUUAUGGAGUUUGGAGUGAUAUCUUCCAGGAUUAUGGCCCAAACUUGGUGUAAAGGGAUUGAGAGAGUAACAUCCGAAACUGCUAGGGGGCCCUGUCUGUCUUCCCUUGUCUUCCUGAGACAGAACAUGGUUCAGGCUCUUAACCGUUCAGUCUUCCAAAUCGACGUGGAUGCCCCAAGUUCUUCACCUUCUGGCUCCCAGGGAGUUUUAAUGGUGGUCCUUAAAGGAUGCGUGCAGGAAAGGAUUUCAGCUAAGCAUUCCAUUGAACCCCGACCUGCCUGGUAAAUGGGGCAAAUCAUCUGGGAAGGAGACCCAUCCUUCAAUUCCUGAACACAUAGCCAUUGCUACCUGGAAGAGAUGGCUCUGAGAAUUUUAAUUAGGCAUGAGGUAGAGCGAGAUCAAUAGCUUGUACCUUCUCUUGGAGG
rnacentral:lncRNA from 10 species